GACGAACGCUGGCGGCGUGCUUAACACAUGCAAGUCGAACGGACUGUUAGUGAAAGCUUGCUGGAUCUAACAGUUAGUGGCGGACGGGUGAGUAACACGUGAGAACCUAUCCCGACCCGGGGGACAACAGGUGGAAACGCCUGCUAAUACCCCAUAGGCGCAGAGAUGCGUGAAAGGAGCAAUCCGGGGAGGGAGGGGCUCGCGGCCUAUCAGCUAGUAGGUGGGGUAACGGCCCACCUAGGCGAUGACGGGUAGCCGGCCUGAGAGGGCGCACGGCCACACUGGAACUGAGACACGGUCCAGACUCCUACGGGAGGCAGCAGUGGGGAAUCUUGGGCAAUGGGGGCAACCCUGACCCAGCGACGCCGCGUGAGGGACGAAAUCCCUUGGGAUGUAAACCUCUGUUGUGCGGGACGAAGGACGUGACGGUACCGCACGAGGAAGCCCCGGCAAACUACGUG
rnacentral:rRNA from 1 species